GACUGUCACCAAAUUUGGAGGCUUAAGUUAGUCUAACUUCAAAUAAUAGGCUCUGUGGCAAACAUCACAUUCACUUUGAUGCUCCCAGAAACACUGAGGGGUAAGAUUAUCUGCAGAAGACCGGACUGAGGGCCAACUGUCUGCGGGCACACAGGAGCAGUUGCAGGUCAACUGCUGGAAUAACAUUUCUCAUAGCAAUGUCCAAGCAAGUUGAUCUGAUACCAGCACAUCUAGAGGGCUGGCUCUACGAGAAGCUGAAAUGACAAAGAAUAAGUUAGUGACUUAAAAACUGGAGAUUUAAUUUCAAGGGCCAAAGUAAUACACAAGAGAGAAGUAUGACUGAUUGGUGUGAUAAAACAAUCUCCUGCCUACUCCUCUG